rnacentral:tRNA from 1 species
AGAAUAUUAAGCCCAAAAAAGAAGCUUCUAACUUUUUUUUAAGCAGUUAAACUCUGUUUAUAUUCUA